rnacentral:rRNA from 1 species
AUUGUACGCUGGCGGAAUGCUUUACACAUGCAAGUCGAACGGCAGCACGGGGGCAGCCCUGGUGGCGAGUGGCGAACGGGUGAGUAAUACAUCGGAACGUGCCCGGUCGUGGGGGAUAACGUAGCGAAAGUUACGCUAAUACCGCAUACGAUCUGAGGAUGAAAGCGGGGGACCUUCGGGCCUCGCGCGAUCGGAGCGGCCGAUGUCAGAUUAGGUAGUUGGUGGGGUAAAGGCCUACCAAGCCGACGAUCUGUAGCUGGUCUGAGAGGACGACCAGCCACACUGGGACUGAGACACGGCCCAGACUCCUACGGGAGGCAGCAGUGGGGAAUUUUGGACAAUGGGCGCAAGCCUGAUCCAGCCAUUCCGCGUGCAGGACGAAGGCCUUCGGGUUGUAAACUGCUUUUGUACGGAACGAAAAGGCUCUGGCUAAUACCUGGGGCUCAUGACGGUACCGUAAGAAUAAGCACCGGCUAACUACGUG